GCAAUCGGAUCUAAAAGAACAACGACGCGGGGAAGAGAUGAGGAGUGAAAUGGCCAUGACCAUGCCGUGUUCCUCCGCCGUCACCAUCACCGCCGCCGCCGCCGCCGCCCCCUCCUCCUCCUCGCACCCGGAGGUCCCCCGGCUCAGGGCCAGGCCCGGGCCUCUCCGCCUGAGACCUGCCGCCCCACGCUGCUCCUCCACCUCAUACAACGGCUGGGCUGACCUCGCCGCCGAGCCCGACCUAGCUUUCCCUCUCCAGCCAUCACAUACCCUGUUGCCGCUCUUCCUCCUCCCAGUCGCCGCCCUCUCCCUCCCCCCGCCUCCCUCCCCUCCCUCUCCUUGCCGCCGCUUUUGCCGCCGGAUUCGCCACCAGACACCUCGCCUCCACUCCCACCCACUCCCAUCGUCUGGCCGCCCUCCUCGCCGAUCUCGACGCCCAGCUCCGCGCCCUCAGCUCCUCCUCUUCCUCCUCCGACCCCACCAUUCUCCUCGACGCCGCCAAUCAACUGCGCGAUGCCACCCGGCUGGCUGCACAGGGUGGCAGCACCACCAUGUUCGGGGACGCGGUGAAGGAGGCCGCCAGUUAUUUUGCUAGCUUGGCACGGGACACCAUGCGGGACCUCACCUUCAGCUCCCCACGGAAGAAGCCCAAGGAGACCAAGGCUGCGGCUGCGGCAGCGCUCACCCUGGACACAGCUAAUUCUCCCAGUCCUCAAGCUCAACAACAAGAGGAUGGGAACGAACUAUUGGGUUCAGCAACAAAUGCUAACACAACACACACUGAAGACAAGCCACUGGCCGCCCGUAGUGCGAGGGGCAGUCCAAUUGCACUUGACAUGCUCCCAUUCGACAUGGAUGACCAUGGAUUGGAUGAUCCAGGGUUCGGUGCUCACAGGAAAGAAGAUGAUGGAGUGGAAAGAAUGGUGUCCAAGCGCAGGUAUGGGCGUCACACCGUGCGGAAUGAUUGUUUUCAACAAGGCAGACUUGCAGCUGAGUCCAUGGAGUCGCCAUUACUCGAGAGGACACUCGAAAUUCGGGACAGAUCCUACAGGUUGAAGAUUGAGUGUCGUGGUAGCAAGAGCCAACCAAAUGAAGCACGACAGGGGGCAUCUGAUCACAUUGUUGAUAACCCCACUAGCUCUAAAAGUAUAGAUGAUGAAAGUAUUGCCAUGGAUUCAGAUGGCGAGGAGUUCAGCCACAAUGUCAUUGAGGCAGCAGAGGUUUUAAGGAAGGCAAGGGAAUGCAUGAUGGCCAGAGAUGAUGAAGAGACUGCAGAUUCACUGCUGUACAAAUCAGCUAGGCUUCUUUCAACAGCCGUUGCUUUGAAGCCAUCAAGUUUAGUAGCGGUGGGUCAGCUAGGGAACACCUAUCUACUCCAUGGAGAGCUCAAGCUCAAGGUUAGUCGUGAGCUGAGAACACUCUUGGUCAAUAGCGGCGCUCUUCUAAAUGGAAGAUACCGUGUUUCACGUUCGAGGAAGCUGGACAGAAGAAUCUUAAGCAGAGAAAACAUAUCCUCUGCCUUAAUUGAUGUUUGUGAAGAGUGUGAAAGCCUUCUUGUUGAGGCUGGGAGAAGCUAUAGGAUGGCCCUAUCGAUUGAUUCUAGUGACGUCAAGGCACUGCACAACUGGGGACUAGCACUUAUCUUUCGUGCCCAGCUACUUGCUGAUAUUGGACCGGAAGCAGCAGUUGAUGCUGACCAAGUUUAUUUGGCUGCAAUCGAUAAAUUUGAUGCGAUGUUGUCCAAAAGCAACACAUAUGCUCCAGAAGCUCUCUACAGAUGGGGCAUUGCACUGCAGCAGCGAUCAUAUCUCCGUUCUGGAAACAACAAGGAGAAGAUAAGGCUUCUGGAACAGGCAAAGAGUAUGUUUGAAGACGUUCUGUAUGUAGAAGCAGAUAACAAGACGGUAAGAGAAGCGCUAUCAUCAUGCAUAGCAGAGCUCAAUUACCAUGGGCGAUGGUUAUAGCCCUCAAUUUGGCUACGGUGAAAUCCGUUUGUGUGAAGUUUGAUGAUCCCUAAUGUGUUGUGAAUUGUGGUCGUACGGCUUCUUUUGUUUCCUGCGUGCAAUUGUUAUUCUGCCGUACGGGAGUUGGGACUUGACUCUUAGGAUAUUACUGUGUCAUCAAAUAAAACAAUAGAUAAAUAAAUAAAUAAAAGCGAUCAUGAACAAUUGUGUAAAUUGCGGCCAGUACCCGGUUAUAUUGUUUUGGUGAAGAAAAAACACCGACUACUGACAAUACCCGGUUAUAAUUGUGUUGAUUGCAUGUC